rnacentral:rRNA from 1 species
AGUCGAAUGGUAACAGGAAACAGCUUGCUGUUUCGCUGACGAGUGGCGGACGGGUGAGUAAUGUCUGGGAAACUGCCUGAUGGAGGGGGAUAACUACUGGAAACGGUAGCUAAUACCGCAUAACGUCGCAAGACCAAAGAGGGGGACCUUCGGGCCUCUUGCCAUCAGAUGUGCCCAGAUGGGAUUAGCUAGUAGGUGGGGUAACGGCUCACCUAGGCGACGAUCCCUAGCUGGUCUGAGAGGAUGACCAGCCACACUGGAACUGAGACACGGUCCAGACUCCUACGGGAGGCAGCAGUGGGGAAUAUUGCACAAUGGGCGCAAGCCUGAUGCAGCCAUGCCGCGUGUAUGAAGAAGGCCUUCGGGUUGUAAAGUACUUUCAGCGGGGAGGAAGGGAGUAAAGUUAAUACCUUUGCUCAUUGACGUUACCCGCAGAAGAAGCACCGGCUAACUCCGUGCCAGCAGCCGCGGUAAUACGGAGGGUGCAAGCGUUAAUCGGAAUUACUGGGCGUAAAGCGCACGCAGGCGGUUUGUUAAGUCAGAUGUGAAAUCCCCGGGCUCAACCUGGGAACUGCAUCUGAUACUGGCAAGCUUGAGUCUCGUAGAGGGGGGUAGAAUUCCAGGUGUAGCGGUGAAAUGCGUAGAGAUCUGGAGGAAUACCGGUGGCGAAGG